GAUGAACGCUGGCGGCGUGCCUAAUACAUGCAAGUCGAGCGAACAGACGAGGAGCUUGCUCCUCUGACGUUAGCGGCGGACGGGUGAGUAACACGUGGAUAACCUACCUAUAAGACUGGGAUAACUUCGGGAAACCGGAGCUAAUACCGGAUAAUAUAUUGAACCGCAUGGUUCAAUAGUGAAAGACGGUUUUGCUGUCACUUAUAGAUGGAUCCGCGCCGCAUUAGCUAGUUGGUAAGGUAACGGCUUACCAAGGCAACGAUGCGUAGCCGACCUGAGAGGGGGAUCGGCCACACUGGAACUGAGACACGGUCCAGACUCCUACGGGAGGCAGCAGUAGGGAAUCUUCCGCAAUGGGCGAAAGCUUGACGGAGCAACGCCGCGUGAGUGAUGAAGGUCUUCGGAUCGUAAAACUCUGUUAUUAGGGAAGAACAAAUGUGUAAGUAACUAUGCACGUCUGGACGGUACCUAAUCAGAAAGCACGGCUAACUACGUG
rnacentral:rRNA from 1 species